CAGUCGCCACGGGAAAACAGAGGGUGCAAGCGUUAAUCGGAAUUACUGGGCGUAAAGCGCGCGUAGGUGGUUUGUUAAGUUGGAUGUGAAAUCCCGGGGCUCAACCCCGGAACUGCCUUUGAUACUGGGUGUCUUGAGUGUGGAAGAGGUCAGUGGAAUUGCGAGUGUAGAGGUGAAAUUCGUAGAUAUUCGCAGGAACACCAGUGGCGAAGGCGGCUGACUGGUCCACAACUGACGCUGAGGUGCGAAAGCGUGGGGAGCAAACAGGAUUAGAUACCCCUGUAGUCCCUGUCUCUUAUAC
rnacentral:rRNA from 1 species